rnacentral:pre_miRNA from 3 species
AAAUAUCAGCUGGUAAUUCUGGGAGCUAAGCCUAAAUAUGAAACACUCGGAAUUUCAGUUGGUAUCGAC